rnacentral:rRNA from 1 species
AACGAACGCUGGCGGCAGGCCUAACACAUGCAAGUCGAGCGCCCCGCCAGGGGAGCGGCGGACGGGUGAGUAACGCGUGGGAAUAUGCCCUUUGCUACGGAAUAGUCUCGGGAAACUGGGGGUAAUACCGUAUACGCCCUUUGGGGGAAAGAUUUAUCGGCGAAGGAUUAGCCCGCGUUGGAUUAGGUAGUUGGUGGGGUAAUGGCCUACCAAGCCGACGAUCCAUAGCUGGUUUGAGAGGAUGAUCAGCCACACUGGGACUGAGACACGGCCCAGACUCCUACGGGAGGCAGCAGUGGGGAAUCUUAGACAAUGGGGGCAACCCUGAUCUAGCCAUGCCGCGUGAGUGAUGAAGGCCUUAGGGUUGUAAAGCUCUUUCAGCUGGGAAGAUAAUGACGGUACCAGCAGAAGAAGCCCCGGCUAACUCCGU